GUUUAUAUAUAUUUAAAUUUUUAUAUGAGGAAUCUCCACUGAUCUCAGAAGCUAAGCAGGGUCGGGCUUGGUUAGUACUUGGAUGGGAGACCAUCUAGGAAGACCGGGUGCUGUAGGCA
rnacentral:rRNA from 1 species